GCUGUCAGUCCAUAGAGCUGUGGGAUGACAGUCCACAGGGCUGUCGUCUCCGCCUGUUCAGGCUCUGCUCUCGGACAUUUACACUUGGGUGAAACUUAAGGUGUGCCGGCUCCCAGGAAGGACUUGUGAAAUCUCGAUCGCUAAUUGCAAAUUGCAAGAUUGACACCACUGGGUCAUAGCUUAUAGGACAAGCAAGAGAGACCACUUUAACAUAACUAAGACAGGAAUUUACGGCAAGAGGAAGACUCAGCUGCUUCUCCUGAGUUAAACACUGCAUAAUCUGGCCUGGGAAAGACAGGGUGCCAACUUCCUGACCACAGACCAUUUGGAUCUCAUCUCACACUAACAAGAGCGGAGCCGGUCCACCACAUUCGCCAUCCAGAAGUGCGUUUCAUCGCAUCGCUCUGUAUCUGACCAGAAAAGGAGCUGGCAUGUCACAGCAAGUCAACCGAUACUGUCACCUUGGGGAGUGGAGAUGCUGGAGUUGAUUAACAGAAAGUACUGGAGAUGGGCAACUUAAGCUGUCAGUAAAGGAAGCCUCUUUGGGAUUCUAUGGCCAAUGCUUCUGCGCCUUUUGGCUAACAUCAAGGGCAGGGUUGUGGGUUAUAGAGUACAUAAUUCCCACUUUGCUCUUUGCUAAGUCUGUACUCGAGACAAGCAGAUUUCUUGCAGUUCUACAGACCUAGCUCCUUGGCCCCUCUUUUCCCAUCUCUCUUCAGUGCAGAUACCUGGGUCGUGCAUUCCCCAUGCAUGCACCCCUGAGCAGAAUUCUGGGGGGACUUGACCUACUGACCCACAGAGUGUAUAUGCGCCCUUGUGCUCUACUUUCUCCACCAUCAAAAGAUCAUUAUCGAACCAGACAUUUGCAUUUUAGUGAAAAUUUAGGUCAGGGUAUUACUGCUCCCAGGAAGGACUUGCUUCGAAAACUUUCUCCCUUAUUGUAGAUUGCAGCUGUUCAUAUCACCCUGGCUCCUCUUCCUACGCAGAGACCUCUUUUCUCUGACACAGUUGUCCCCUCUCUGCAGACACUCAGGGGUUGACCUUAGGGCCUGUGCAUGCAAGCAAGUACUCUACCAUUAAACUGUUUUUUAUUUA